UACAUAUCAAUAUAAUUAUUACUUGUAUAUACGUUUGUAUAUUUGAAUUUCGCGCGCUAAACUGUAACUUAACUUUUACCUGCGAGAACAAGAUGUGCGCGCAUGCUUGUAGGAGAACAGAGACAGCCAUAUACGUGUCAACACGUUUGAUAUCGGUAAUACGGAAACUUGUUUAACACGCAAACUACAGCUUGCGUGUAUAUCCGGUCAUGUGACGAUAGCUGUCACACUGUCACACUGACGAGUGUGGUAUUCCUUGGCCAGUGAGGUGCCUCUCCAGGAUGGUCAGCGACCCUGUGCAUUUGGCAUGAUCAUGGAGGCAGGUCAGGUUGCUUUAAGGUUCCGGGGAUAUGGUGGCUCCUCAACCCCUACAUAGGAACGUUGUACAGUACAGUUACUGUUGUGAUCACAUCGAUGUGGAUGACAGCCUACUCGAUGAUGAGACUGUUUAUUGAUAUAUUAGGUAGAACUCUGUCUACUUCUUCAGUAAAUAUAUAGAUGUACUCUAAAACAGUGAAGGAAUACAGUCCUCCAAUGGUUAUAUGCAUGUAUUUUGCCAUAUGUAUUAUUGUGUGCUAUUUUAAAGUAUGGAAGUGAGAGAGACUGGUAUAUUUUGUCAUCCUGUUUUGUAUAUGAUCAUUGUUUGUAUAUAAAAGUGUAUAUAGUGUAAA